rnacentral:lncRNA from 1 species
CAGAAACUGCCAUACUGAGAACUGAGCUUCAGCAGCUAAAUCAGGAACUGCAGGGUGUGCAUUAGCAGUGCAGAAGGACAGCCCAAGAACUUGCCAGUCAAGAUGAAAAACUUCUUCUAAUGGAAUCCAGCUUGAAAGCAACUCAAGAGCAGCUAAGUGAGCAAACAGCAGAAACAGUUCACCAAGAACAGAACAGUAGAAAAUCACAGACAGAGCUGAAAGAAGAUCCUGAGAGAACGUAUUAUAGCUUCUGAUGAAGAAAUUAGUGAUUACAAGUGAGUAACUGCUUUUAUAGUAUUUGAUAAACAGAAGACAUUAAAGACAGCAGCAAAUUCUUUUAAUAAGUAUUAUGUUAACCAUUUAUUUCUGGCAAGAUGUAGUGUAAAUAUGUUCUAUAGCUACUGAAUAAACUAUUAAAUCUAAAAGAUUGAUUAAUGUGUACUUUAAAAUAUAUUUUGCACUUAAAAUUAAAAAAAAAUACUUUUGUUAGUGGUCUAUUUUACUUUUGGAAUGAAAAAGAGAAAAAGAUUCUAUGGUGUUGAAGUAGAAUAAUAUUUGUUACUUCUAUCUUAAUAUUAUUCUCAUCUUCCUAUUUUUAGCAACUGAAGUUUAAAUAUGCAUUUUAUUUUCUUUAUUUUUUUUAGAAGCUGUCUCUAAGCAAGAUGCUGCCAAAUAAAAGGAAAUUUAGUGUUUGAACUUUUAGUCACAACAGUAAGGCACAUAUGAGAUUGCAUACUAUACUUGAGAAAAGUUUAAACAGAAAAAUGUACCUCUAUUCUCAGAAAAAAAAAAAAUAGUAUCUAUAAGUUUAUAAGUUUAAAUGUUAGCUCUGAAGAUUUUAAUUAAAAAAUACUAAUCUUCAACAAAUAACUUUUAUAAAUUAUAAUGACUUUAAAUGUAUUUUUAUAUUGAGACACAAAAUGAUACAUUAUUCAGAUUUUUCAAGAUCUACAGUAUGGUAGAAAUGAUUCACUACUGCUUCUUUUUGCCUUAUUGUAUGCAAACUGUUACAUAUGUUAUAUUAAAAAAUUGUUAAAUGUAGAGACAGAAACUCAAGCUGUUUUAUAAUAUCAUAGAGUGCAGGUGAAUGCUUUAUAAAGAGAGCAUGACUGAAAUAAAGUUUAUUCAUUCAGUGGUAGGUUGAACAUUUAAAGAGAAAUGUUUUAUCUCAGAUUUGUACCAAGCAUCAAGGACUGUCUCUACAAAUCUCCUCUGAGAGAAGCUUUGCUAGGUUUAGAUGCAAUAAACAUAAUGUUUCAAAAUCACAAUAUGACAAUGUUAUAAUUUGUAUGCUCAGUGUAAAUAGCUUCUAGACUGGAACUUCACUCUGUAUUCAAAAGUUUAAAGCCAAUUUUUCUGCUGAAGACUGGGAAAAUCUCUAUGGGAAGAAAAAAACGCACAAGAACAAAAACAUUGUCUACAGUAAUAUGUCUUCAUUUCUUUAAAUAAAAUAGCUUGGUGGUUUUCAACUUCUAGUUAUACCUCUAAAGACCUUACUACUACUUCUCUAGGGACAGUAGUGUCACUGAUUUGCUUUCCUAACCUAUCUUGACUCCUUUGCUACAGUAAGCUUUCUUAACCAUUUCAAGUGAUUCUUCAGUUGCCAAAAUGCCAUGUUAUGCAAAUUCCUGUAGAUAUUUACUUCAAAAUUAAAAGGUUAAAAUCUUCUAGGAGUACUGGCUGUAAGUUUGUGUGAUACAGUGAUAGAAAUGGUAGGGGAUGUGGGAGGAUUGAAACCUCCAGCUGUAUCUGAUCAAAUGUGUGAUGAAAUACAACACUUGAUAGAGCAGGAAUUUUGCAAAAGUGAAAUGAGUUUCUCUGUUCUUCAAAUAGAAAGACAAAUGAUAAACACUACAAGACUUUGAGACACAUUUCUUUCUUUUUUUUUUUUUUUAUGAUUUCAUAGUAUACAUUUUGUGAAUAAAUAAAAACUUGGAUGAAUCUGUUAACAUACAAAAAUUCACUAAGCCACCUUUUUUUCUGUUUAUAUUUGAUUUUCUUUUUCUGCUCUAUUUUUCUAUUUCUGUUUUCACCAAACUAAUAUGUUUGUUGGCUUUGGAAGUUUGUUAAUUUAGUACAUGAGCAUAAUGUAUUUUGAGUUAGGGGAGUCUUCAGGUUACAGCUCUAUAGAUUGUCAAGAUUAUUUUUAUAGGCUCUUAGGUUAAUUUUUAUGUUUAAGUUUAUGACACUUGUUUUUUAAAAGUACUGUGAUAUUACUGCACGAUUAUAGAGAAGUAUUUGUUGAAUUAGGAAAAUUAACGCUGUAAAUUUAAAAUUUUAAUAAAGUUGAAAUUAUAAAGAUAAAAACUAAGAAACAAAAUUGAACAUUUUAGAUAUUAAAUUCCCCCUUAAAGAUAACAUUUUACUGAAUACCUGAAAACAAACAUGUUGUGCCAGACAGUAUCUGCUGUGCUCUGUUCCUUGAGAGGCAGAAAGAACAAUGGAUCUCUUUCCCCAUGGGUGUUUGGGGACAGGGAAUGUCGUAAAGGUUAUGUUCAUUUACUAUGAAGGGCACAGCACGUGUUGUAAAGUAACAUCCCUUUGGUGCUGACUUAUUCGAAGUCACAUAGUCCUGGACUUUACCUACCACCCUACUUAGUGAUUCUGGCAAAUGCAGAUGGUAUCAAGGUGAGAGCUUAGGACCUUACAAAGAAAAAUGCAGUGAAGCAUAAAUUGGUGGAUUUAAACUACCGAGAGAGUUAAGAUUCUGCUAUAGCUGUUGUGACGCCUAUAAGGAGAAAAGUCCAUUUUUGUAUGCUUUUAUUUCCUUGUAAUGUAAAUGUACAUUAAAGGAUAUUUCUCCUGGAAGUGGUGUAAAAGGAAAGUACUGAAGAGCAUUUAAAAAACAAUAAAACUAGCAUUAUUUGUGCUAGUUUACAAAAAUAUUUUUUUAUAAAAUAGAAUAAAAAUAUUUUACUAACUGUACUGGAUUCUCAAAAUGCAUGUAUUCCAGGUAUAACCAAAAUUUGUAAGUAGUCACAAGCUAUGUUUGCUAUAUACUUAUUCUGGAUGAAAUAAACCUAAAGUUACACACACUCCCCCCCAGCCUCCAAUAUAAGCCUGUUACACUUGAAAGAUUUGUUCGGAAUGUCCAGUGGGAACCUGGAAAUCGUAAUAAUUUGUAGUAUCGAUUGUGUGAAGCUAUGCAGCUGGGGCCUCUAGUGAAUAGACAGGAAUAGACAUUUUAUUGAUUAACUUUUACAGUCAUAUUUUCAAGACUCUGCUGCAACAUAAUUUUCACUUCCCAGCUUUGUGCUGCUGCAUCAUGAAACUUGAAUUCUUCUCUCUUAACAUUUACCCACCUGAGGGAAACAGUAUGGAGUUGUCUCUUUUAAGCUGCGCUCUGCAGAAAUGCAUAACACUUGACACAGUGAAUUCUUCAAAAUUUACCCUCCGCUGUUGCAAUAAAAUGAAAAAUAUUAAGAAGUGAUAUUAGUAUCACCCAAGUUGAACUGCCCACUCCAUAUGUUAGACGCCAUUGUUUCAUACUUCCUAGUAAUUUUAUCCACCUUUUUUUUUAUUUUUAUUUUCUAAGGGGCUAAGAUUGUGGCAAAAAAAAUUGCCACCCUCCUCACACCACAGAUUCCAGCAGUGCUUAAUGGAGUUUGUCUCAUAAUUAAAUAGGUGAUUUUAUUAGUUACUGGAGAAGAAUAAGUGCUUCCCUGAAAAUGUGAACUAUGAAUUAAAAAAUACUCAUUUUUAAGAGUGACAGCCUGUGUCAAAUAAAAUUCCUUGUAAAAGUACAGAAAGGGCAGUUUUUCAUUAUAAUUAUCAAUCUAUCAUUUAACAAUGUAAAAAUAUGUACCAAAAUAGUAAACAGACUAGUCUUAGAAAGCAUUAUUUCACAUUUCUGAAGUUAUUCGUUUUCAGAAAAGAAAAAAAAAAGGGGGGGGGGGGGCAUUUUGCCAUUUUGUAAAGAACUGUUGCAUAUUUUCUGAUUUUUUCCCAGUAUGAUUUGCAUUCUAAAUCAGAUGCCCAAGCCACUAUUCUUUCAUGCUGAUAAAAUUGCUGGUAAAAAUCUCAAUCUAUCAUUUUUUUUUUCAUCUAAUGACUGUUUCUUUGUUGUUGUUGUUGUUGUUAUUUUACAUGGUAACUUUUACUUGAAUGCUGUUUGCAAUGUAAGUUUGAUAACAGCUUUCACAAAAUAGGACAAAUAUUCACAUACAUUGCCACUGGUGCUAAUAUGAUUUAGACUUCUGUCAUUCUAUUAUUUUUCCUAGAGAUAUUUUAUUACUAGUGUCUUCUAAGUAUCUAAAUGUUUAAGAUAUUUGUGGUCAUGUUUCCUUUUGUCCUCCCGCUCAUCAGAUACAUCUCAGUGUGCACUGUAUGGAGACACCAAAGCAGAAAUACUCGCAUAGAUGACAGAAUGUUCAUCUUGUUUGCAGUUGUCUAAACUCUUACAGAAAAAAUCCUGAUUUCUCUUAAAAAAGCAGAAAACUGUGUGGAGAACUUUAAGGUCUGAAAAAUGUGAGUAAUGCCUCCAGAAAAGCUUAAAUGGGAAUCACGCCAAGAAUGUGGGACCAGGAAAGUCAAAUUGUCAGACUGAGACAAAACUUUGUGGAAAUGGAAGAAGAAGUAAAGAACUUAAGACUUACACACAGCAAUGAUGCUCAGAUGGAUAGAAAAUUGUCUUUGGUAGCAGCAAAGAUUAAAAAAAUAGUAUCACUUAAAUAAAUACAUGUGAAGAAGCCAAAUUUGUAACAAAAAGGAAACCAGUAAAUGAAUUCACAAAAGCCAGCUACUACAUAGCAAAUCUCUGUAUAAAUGGGCUGAGAGUAUGUACCAAGAAGAAGGCAAGUAUCUAUUCUUUUUCAAUGGGAAAAACAAAAAACAAAAAACAAACAAACAAAAAAGCUAUUUCAUCCUUACUUUGGGAAAAAGGCACACAAAACCAAAGCAAAAAAUGCCUCACUGACUGCAUCUGUCCAUUCUGUACUGUAAUUUGUUUCCCGCUAUGAAGAUUUAGGUUAAAUUCAUUUCUAUUAUUAAAGACAAAUAAGCUGCAAAAGAACUAAUUCUCUGUCUCCAUCUUUUACAUGUAUAUUUAUUCAUAUGAAUGCACUUUUGUUCAUUUAUUUUUACUUCUACCUUGACAAAGCUGUGCAAAAAAUAACAUAGUUUGAUUACUCAUAAUUUGCAUUUGUGUAAUUAAUAGGGAUGAAAAGGAUUAAAAUCAAUGGAGAAAUAUUUAUUUGUUUAAAUUGGAUAACUAUGGAAAAACUAUUUGGCAGGAAUGAAAGCUUUUCCAUCUAAAUUACGUCAUAUAAUUUAAACUGUUUUAGUUUUUAAGCUUAAAAAGCAUGAAAAUCACAAAGCAGAACUGGAAGAAGACACAGAAAAAUACUGCCAUGUAAAGGAAGAGCCUUCAGAACAAGGGUCUCAGCUCAAAAUUAGCUAGCUGGUCCAUUCUGGAGUGGGAAAACUGAUAAAAUGCCGCAGUACUCAGGUAAUACCCUUGAUACAAUAUGUGGAAGGGAGACAGUGUUUGAAGUAAUAUCAGUGAAUGUAUCAGAGUACUCUCAGAGAAUUUUUCCAACGGAUAAGGAAAUAUUAUUUAAAUAAUACUAACUGUAAAAUUCACUCAUGAGUGAUUGAGAAAACAUGAGAAAUAUUGUUGAAAAUAUCAAGUCAAUAUAACAGCAGCAUUUCUUCUUUUAAAAGUGUUGUGGGUGGGAUUCACCUUGUUGAACUGGAGGUAGGAAUAUUUGAAAUAGAUGUCUAAGUUCCAUUGCUGUCAUUGGAGACUUAAUCAACUCAGUGAGUGAAAUCAAGGGCUAUCAAUACCUUUCAUUACCCAAAGUGAACCUACAGAAAAGCUGGAGAGUGACUCUUUAUCAGGUAGCAUUGUCAUAGGACAAGGGAUAGUUGCCUUCAACUAAACUAGAUUAGACAUUAGAAAGAAAUUCUUCACUAUGAGGACAGUGAGAUACUGAAAUAAAUUGUCCAUAGAAACUGUGGAUGCUCCAUCUCUGGGAGCAUUCAAACGUAGGUUGAGUGAAGCCCUUGGCAACUUGAUCUCAUGGAAGGUGACUGUGCUAUGGCAGGGAAUUAGAACUAGAUGAAUUUAAGUUCUCUUCCAAACCAUUUUAUGAUUCUAUGACUAAAUAUUGAUCCAAUCAAUAUUAAGGUUUUCAGAGGAGCUGAAAAUCAAUCCCAGUGACAAUAUUAUUCAUUGUGAUAGAACACAUUCACACACCGUAAUGCAGACAUCCAAAUUUGGGUAAGAAUAAUCAGAUUAGAAAAGUUAGCCUUUUUGCAGCAAUUCAUUAUAUAAUACGGAAUUAUUUUAUUUAUUUUUGUUACUAAUAAGAGUACUAGAUGUUUCACAAGCAUAGAUACUGGUCAAUUAUCUGAGCAAUAUCCAAUAUAUAAAUACACAAAGUUAGAAGGAAAUGAUCAAUGCCAGAGAGAAAUAAAAGUUAAAAUAAUACAUGCUUUUUCUUCUGUGUCUGAGAGAAUGUGAGUAGAUGUGAAAGUUGGAAAACCAAAAGAAUUAGUAGUAUGACAACAUUCCUUUUCUACCCUAGCAUUGUCAAAAGAUAACAAGAUUAAUUCUCUGCUGUAGUAUUUCACUACAGUAGUGUGUUAAUUUGAGGGGCUUGGCUGAGCCUUAUUCAGCAUAUAAUUAGAAUUUACUGAACUUUAAUUUCUUAUCAUCUUUAGGCUGCAUUAUCAAAGUGUUUAUAUUGAAACAUUCAAAUGUUCAGUUAAAAAUAAACUUCAGUUUGUCAAGGAUACAUUGUAUACAAAUUCUGUGGAAAUAUUUGAAUAAAAUUGUUCACUUUUGCUUUGUGAGAAAUGCUUUGCACUUUACAUAUUUAUAACAUAAUGUCAUUAGAGUAUGUAUCUUAGAAAUAUAGCAAUUUCCUGGUGAAUUUAUUGAAUAAAUGCUUAUCUAAUAAGUAAUUUGAGAGUAGAGAAAGAUCUAAUGAAAAGCUAAAUACACAGUGAAAUCCUAAUCAAGCAAUUGAAAUAGUUACUCAUGAUAAAACUAAGAUUAUCAGAGUAUCAGAACACAAAUUACUCCAUUAAUCUUUUGAAUUAGUCAGUUCUUAUUUUCUGAAGCUAAGUAACUUGGGAAGGUACACUCAAGGUUUCAUCUUUCUGAAGACUGUAUUUAUUACCUUUACUUUCAUAAAGAGUUCAUUAGAAAGAAUAUUACAGUGAAAUACGUUAACUUUUUAGCCUGUUUUAAUGAGGUCAUGUGAGUCUUUAAUUAUCUGACAUAAAACUGCUUAGUUUUACGUAGUAUCUACAGAUACUAAUUAGUAUCUACAUAUAUACAUUAGUAUCUACAUCAAUUAGUAUCUACAGAUAUUAACGGAUUCAUAUGUCAUAAAGCCAGAAGAAACGCUGUUAUUGAAUCUUAUAUGUGGCACAAUGCAGGCCACAGGACUUCACUGAAUUGAGUAGUUGUAAGAGAUUAUUCUUUUAUAUGAUUGACUCAAAGUUUGCUGAGGAACAAGUCCAGGCAAGUCCUGGGCAAAGGUACAGAAAUCUUCUGUCUGGAGGACACUGAUGGACAGGUCCUGGCUAAAGGAUUGUGAAGUCCUUUAAGGAGCACAGAUGGACGAGGCCAGGGGCAACGAGAGAGGGAUAAGCUGCUGAUAAUGGCUGAGAAAUGGUCUUUUGUGUGGACUUAUCUAGAAGAAGAUGGCCAUCUCAGGAGCUACGCACAUGACUCUUGCUCAAGCACCCAGGGAUGUCACGUAGGCAGGAAAAAGAGGAGGAUAAAAGAGGGUCUAACAACCAUGAGGAGAGGGUUUCUGCCAUCAGAUCCCUCACCACGACGGACUCAAGGUUUCUGCCAUCAGAUCCUUCACUACGGACCAUAUGCUGAUGGACUUCCCUGGGCCUGCUACCUGAGACCUGCUGCUUCCUCCCAGACUUACUCUGCGGCUUCUUCCUGGACCCACCCGGUACCUGCACCCUCUCGUUGCCCAAGACCGGCCUCGCUGCUCCUGCCCUUCAGCCUCGGACCAUCAGAACAUCGUGCAACAGGACUACUGCUGGUGGUGACUAUCCCCGCUUUAUGCAAUUCUUGCUUCUUUCUAUCUUUUCUAUCGCUCGCCUUCCCUUUCCCAUCACCCCAAUCCAUAAUAGUGUCCGUCCUCCCCUUUCUUCAUCUCCCUUAUUAACAUAUGUAAUAAACUGGUCGGACCAACAUUUGAACCGUUGUUUCUUAAUCUCACGCCGGGCAUACAUAUUUCAAAGAACCUCCUCUCCCUCCUAUAAAUUGGAGUGAGACAGUAGUACAUUAUGUCUAAGUAAAUGUGAUUAAAAUGGAGUAUAUUAAAAUGGAGCAUACAUUUUUUAUACAUUCUUGACUUUAAAUAUACACAAUGUUAGAGAAUUCAUUACGGUCUUUCACAGGUUGCCUCAAUAGUUAGUAAAACAUAUAGCAUGCUGACUGUUCAUCAUUUUAGCAUCUUUCUUGGAAUGUUAUACAAAUCUCAACAUAUAUAAAAAUAGUUUUUAUGUCAUCUUUAUCAAUAACAUUUGAAAUAUCAUAAAACUGAAAGAGCAGAUAGUUUUACAAGAUGUGUUUACAGUAAAUCCACAGUAACUUUGGUUAUUAUAUUAAUGCACAUUUGUUAUAUGUAUCUACAGCUAACACAAAUUACUGUGGAAUUAUGAUAUUAGCUGUCCUGAUAUUUUGCUUGAAAGAGAUAAGUAACUACCCUCCUUGAAUUACUUGAAUCACCCUCUUAAAACCUAAGAAAUAUUAGCACAGAAUUAACAGAUAAAUUAAUCUGUACUGUUUUGGAAGUUUUUAAGGUUGUCAAGACCAAACACUGUAAAUAUGGCCUAGAAAUUCUUUUCAAAAGCACUUCAAAAGCACUUAGAUAUGUUUUACGUAGACAAUUUGAAAUAUAUUUAUACUUAUGUGAUUGCAGUCACUUUUAUCCUAAGACUAAAAUACCAUACAUUCUUCAGUUAUAAUAGAAUAUUUCACAUGAAGGGUUCUACAGAGAUCAUCAAGUCCAACUGCCUGACAACUUCAGAGGUAACCACAAGUUAAGCGUAUUACUGAGGGCAUUAUCCAAAUGCAUCUCAAGUAAUAUUAGGCAUGGGACAUCAGUCAUCUCAUUGCAGUGAGAUAAAAGCCUGUUCCACUGUUUGAUGAUAAAUAAAUGUCCAGUAUAGUCUGAAACUCCCCUGGCACAGCACAGCUGUGUGCCACUCCUGUGCAACCUGCAAUCAGCACAGAAGAUACCAGGGAGCAGAGACCAGCACCUCCCUCUGUACUUCCUCUCCUCAAGGAGCUGCAGAGAGCAGUAAAGUCAUCUUGUAGACUCCUAUUCUCCAGGCUAGACAGUCCAAGAGUCCUCACCCUUUCCUUACUAGACAUGUCUUCCAUUCUGAUUACCUGCUUUGUUGCCAUUGUCUGGACACUUUUAGAUAUCUUAAUAAUGUUUUUAUGUUGUGGGGCAUACAUUAUUCAAGGUGAGGUUGCACCAACUCCAAAUAUAUCAGGACAAUCACCCCAAAAAGCAGUUUGCCCUUUUGGCAACCAACACUGCUGGUUCAUACUGAGCCUGCUAUCAUCAGCCCUCCUAGAUCAAUUUGUUCUGAGCUGCUCUCCAGCCAUUCAUCUCUCAGUUUGUGUCAUCUCUCAGGUACUGUGCCAGGCAUAGUACCUGACAUUUACCUUUGUUGAACUUCACGCCACUGUUUCCCCAGUGCUCCAAUCCAUCCACAUUGCUCUACAAGACCUCAGCAACACAACUGACCAUCUACUAGCCAAAUGGGUCUCCAUCACUACAACACUUUGAGUUCUACCAUUGAGCCAGUUUAUCACCCUGCAUAGUGUGAACAUACUUAUCUCACAGUUGGACAAUUUGUACAGAAAGUUGCCAUGAAGGAUCAUAUCAAAGGCUUUACUGAAUUCUAGAAAGAUGACGUACGCUGCCUUCCUUCAUCCACCAAGUGGGUAAUCUUAUAAAAAGAAAUCAAAGCAAUGAAGACAGGGCUUUCCCUUCAUGAACCCAUAUUGACUAUGCCUGACAAUGGCUUUGUCCUUCAAGUGCCUUUCAGUAACACUCACUAUAAUCUUCUCCAUAAAUUUUUAGGGUACUGAAGUUAGGUUAACAAGUCUGUUACAGAUUUGUUACUUUUGUUACUUUGUUUUCAGUAAGUUCUUUCUCUUUAUUUUUUGUUUGUUUGUUUAUUUUACUUUGUUUUGGGAAGAGGAGAGCUUGUGGUGGGGAGUGGGGUUUUGUCAUCUACGUAGUGCUAUUGAAGAUAAUACUACUUUUUUAUAUUUAAACAUUUGAUCCUCAGAAAGUUUCAUCCUAUUCUUUCAUGUUUACGAGAUUUUUCUCUCUUCAAACACUUUUUUUCUUUGUAUGAACAUUUGCAAAUGAGUGUGUACAUGCAUAUCAAUGACCAUGAGUACAUGGGGCUUAUCUGUUCCUCAAAAAUAUGACUUGGUCAAAAUUACUUUUGCAUAAAGAACAACUGAAUUUCAGCAACGUAAUCCUUUCCUACUCAUAAGUCUUAAAUUAAUGUGCAAAAUUGAAUUAAUCAGCAUAUUUAAUUACAAUUUUUUUGUUAAACUUAUUUAUCUGUGAAGGUGUUAUGUAUAAUUUUUGAAAGUUAAUGGAUACAUUAUUAAGCAAAGAGUAACAGCUCCAACAAACCAGAAUUAUUUAAGUCUCUGAGGAAAACUAAGAUUUCCCUUCUGAUUCAUCUUUAAAAUCCUGUUUUCAACAUCUUUGCAAAGUUAAUUUUAGUUUUUUAAAAGCCAGGUAACUUAAAAUAAUUUUUCUGCCCUUCAUUCCUCUUUUGUUUAUCGUGUUUUUCAGAAUGUUGUUCCAUUAGUGACUUUGAAGUCAGUGAUGUUAGAUCAAAUUAUUCAAAUUACUAGCUUUUGUUGUUGCUGGUGCUGUUUUGUGGGUUUUUUUUCUUUUGUUUUGUUUUGUUUUGAUUUUCCUCUUAUGAAUGUAAUUUACUGGUGUAGUGGUUAUUAGAACAGAACUUCACAGUGUUUGUGUUUUGUCUUAAUUAUAAGUAAUUUUAUAUCACUAAUAUUAUCAGUAAACUUGUUUGUGUAUAUUUUACUCAAUGAAAUGUUAAUGCCAAACUUUGAACAGAAACUGUACUGACUACUUCUAUCUUAAAACAGACAGUACCAGUAGCUGAUUGUUUUACUUUUGUUUCCUUUCAUCAAACAACUCUAUUCAGAAGGUGAAAAUUUCCUUUUCUUCUUUUUGAUGGAAUUUCUUUUCAUUUCUCCCCUUUCUUUUCAUAGUUUUACAAACGGUCAGUUACACAGUUUAUUACAAAAUAUGUUGAGGCACAUGCCUAGAAGGUGUGUUGAAUGGCAUACUCCAUCUACUUGUGGCAUCUAUGCAUAUUAAGUUGUUAAAAGCAUGUUUGUCAAACUUAUAUGACAGUUUUAGCAAUUGUAAAAACGCAUAUUUGCUAUGCUAUGCUAGAAGAAGAGGAAGAAAAAGAAGAAGAGAAGUGAAAAAAGAGAGGAGAGGAGAGGAGAGGAGAGGAGAGGAGAGGAGAGGAGAGGAGAG